rnacentral:rRNA from 1 species
CCUACGGGUGGCAGCAGUGGGGAAUAUUGGGCAAUGGACGCAAGUCUGACCCAGCAACGCCGCGUGAAGGAAGAAGGCUUUCGGGUUGUAAACUUCUUUUAAGGGGGAAGAGCAGAAGACGGUACCCCUUGAAUAAGCCACGGCUAACUACGUGCCAGCAGCCGCGGUAAUACGUAGGUGGCAAGCGUUGUCCGGAUUUACUGGGUGUAAAGGGCGUGCAGCCGGAGAGACAAGUCAGAUGUGAAAUCCACGGGCUCAACUCCGGGACUGCUUUUGAAACUGUUGAACUAGAUUGCAGGAGAGGUAAGUGGAAUUCCUAGUGUAGCGGUGAAAUGCGUAGAUAUUAGGAGGAACACCAGUGGCGAAGGCGGCUUACUGGACUGUAAAUGACGCUGAGGCUCGAAAGCGUGGGGAGCAAACAGGAUUAGAUACCCCAGUAGUC